ensembl:lncRNA
CGCCCGCCCGCCCGUCGGACUGAGCCUUUGGUCCCUGCCUCUGGCUUGCUGUCCUCUCUCCGGCCCUCGCCCUCUCCCCCUCUCCCAGUCUUUCCAGCCGCUCACGGCCUGGGGCCCCCCAGUUUCCUUCCGACCACAGGGGCCUGAGUGGAGGAGACAGGGCCGAGCGGCCGCGAGUGCAGUCAGAGCCGGGCCGGGAGGCAGAGGGCGCCGGGCGGGCCGCGCUUAGCGGACGCAGCCCGGAGGGGAACAGGCCUCUCGAGGGAAGCGACUGGCCCAAGACGGCAGCACCGCCGGUCCACGCCGCCCUUGGAGCAGGAAGGGACGGCAGCUCCUGCAGCUCCCGCCUGGUCUCGCUUGUGACUUUGGACCCUGAAGAGCCGCCCUGUCGCUGUACGAGGCUUCCUGGGCCCGGGUCUGAGCAGGGCGGGAGGCUGCCUGCGCUGGCCUGCCUUCCGGGUCUCGGCUGGGCCAGGAGCCCCUUACCAGCAGCCCUGCUGAGAGCUGAUUCGGCUCCCUGACGCCAGGGAGCGGAGGGCGUCCAGGGACAGGUGGCGACUGCCAGCCGCGGGGAUCAGCCGGCUGUGCAAGGGCGGCCUGAGGCGGCUUGGUCCCCUUUAACGGCGAUGAGGACGGCCGGGAGGACUGGGCCUGCCUGCCGGGGGAGGCAAGCGGGAAACGUGCCGCCUCUGUCUUCCCACGGCGCGCCCACGGGCCUCGAGCCUCAGUCCCGGCAGUCAGGACAGGAGCCCGGAAGAGGGGCCUUGGCGGACUCGGCGACAGCCCCUCCCUUCCCCGCUGCCUGCCGCCCGCCCUCAGCACCUUCACGCCUCGGGAGGGCGUCUCUGAGACCCCACUGCAGCCGCGGAGCCCUCUGCGGCAGCAGGUGCACGCUUGGGCCCAGGUGGUCAUCGGGACCCAGCCUCAUCGCCCUCCAGGUUCCCCCAGAGGCCACCUCUGCCCCCCGGGGACUGUGCGGCGUGCAACUGCCCUGUGACCCUCCGCGCAAGGACUCGCUUUUGGAGCUACAAACCACCAGAUGGCGCUGCGACCACCAGGAGAGACAGAGUGGGGGCCGAGCAGGAAUUUAAACCGUGACUGUCUUGGGCGUCUGGGUUGCCAGACAAAGUGCCGCGGACCCGGUGCUUAAAGAACAGAGAUUUAUCUUCUCAGUUCCUGCGGCUGGGAGUCUCACAUGAGGGUGCUGGUGUGGCCGGGGCCUGAAUCGAAUUGAGAAUCCCAAGCUGCAUUUGGUUGCUAUUUGGCCUCUUCUACCCCAGCCUGAGCCAGGGGUUGUUGACAUGCUGAACUUCACAACCACAAAGAACAACUAAAGAAGCAGUUUGUUGCUGCACACACACUGUAUUUGCAAAGCACUGCAACUAUUGAAAUGCAAGGUCCUGAUGCCUCAUAGUAGGUCAAGUGAGCUUAGAGGAGUGUGAUGCAUGGAAAUCUAUCAAAGGUAGGUUAAUGUGGAGUGUGUAUUAAAAUACAUGUCUAAACUGAAUGUAGUGGCCUAUACCUGUACCCCAGCUAUUAAGGAGACUGAGGCUGGAGUACAUUGAAUUUAUAGCCAGAUUGGGCAACACGCUGAAACACUGUCUUAGAGAAAGAUGUCUAUUUAUUCCUAAGCUACACAUGGUACAGUUUUGCUGGUCCAUGAUGUUAUAUAAGUGGAGAGGGAUUAUUUGCAAAAGAAAAGCCUGAAAGUGAUUUGAACAAAUAUGAAUCUUACCCUAAGCAGUAGAGGCCCCAUUGGCUGGUCAGAUGAACUGAAUCCAGUUUAAAGAUUUUCAGUUUUCCUUACAUCUUUUUUAUUUUUUGAGGUUGGCAUAGAUUUGAAGGUUAAUAUGAACAUAAAAAUUUGGGCUCACAGUUUUGAUAAUGGAGGGAUUGACCCCGUUUUGGAAUAGAAAUGUUUUAAUGAACUACAGACAUGUUUUUAAAGAUUAUAUUUUUAUCUGUCUUUUCAUGGGGAAAUAAAGGGUUUUGAAAAUGAAAUAUAUUUGAGAAACUUUUCAUUUUUAAAAAAAGUCUUUAUUAAUACCAGAGCAUUCUUAGUUCAGAGAUACUGUUUAAUUGUUUUUGUUUGUUUAAUAGGAAAACCUUUAGCCAGAAUACAAAUUUUCCUCAAAAUUCGAGAAAUCAAAGUGGAAAAGGCCAUGGAAUGAAUCUCAGAGAAGUCACCCCAGAUGUAUAACGAAAAGUCUAUGCAAGAGCAGGGAAGCUUUUCUUUCUCUUUCUUCUUUUAAUGAAUGAAUGAACGCAUGCACGCAUUUAUUUCUUUAUUUAGAAGCCGG